UACGUAGGGUGCGAGCGUUGUCCGGAAUUAUUGGGCGUAAAGGGCUCGUAGGCGGUCUGUCGCGUCAGGAGUGAAAACUCGGGGCUUAACCCUGAGCUUGCAGUGGGUACGGGCAGACUAGAGUGCGGUAGGGGAGACUGGAAUUCCUGGUGUAGCGGUGGAAUGCGCAGAUAUCAGGAGGAACACCGAUGGCGAAGGCAGGUCACUGGGCCGCAACUGACGCUGAGGAGCGAAAGCAUGGGGGAGCGAACAGG
rnacentral:rRNA from 1 species